rnacentral:rRNA from 1 species
AGAACGAACGCUGGCGGCAUGCCUAACACAUGCAAGUCGAGCGGAAAGGCCCUUCGGGGUACUCGAGCGGCGAACGGGUGAGUAACACGUGAGUAAUCUGCCCCUAGCUCUGGGAUAGCUCCGGGAAACCGGGAUUAAUACCGGAUACGACCACCUUAGACAUCUUUUGUGGUGGAAAGAAUUUCGGCUAGGGAUGAGCUCGCGGCCUAUCAGCUUGUUGGUGGGGUAACGGCCUACCAAGGCGACGACGGGUAGCCGGCCUGAGAGGGCGACCGGCCACACUGGGACUGAGACACGGCCCAGACUCCUACGGGAGGCAGCAGUGGGGAUAUUGCGCAAUGGGCGAAAGCCUGACGCAGCGACGCCGCGUGGGGGAUGAAGGCCUUCGGGUUGUAAACCCCUUUCAGCAGGGACGAAGCGAAAGUGACGGUACCUGCAGAAGAAGCGCCGGCUAACUACGUGCCAGCAGCCGC